rnacentral:rRNA from 1 species
CUAGAGAUAGGGAGAUAGUUAUAGAGAAGACAGGUGGUGCAUGGUUGUCGUCAGCUCGUGUCGUGAGAUGUUGGGUUAAGUCCCGCAACGAGCGCAACCCUUGUCGUUAGUUACCAGCAGUAAGAUGGGGACUCUAACGAGACCGCCGGUGAGAAGCCGGAGGAAGACGGGGAUGACGUCAAAUCAUCAUGCCCCUUAUGACCUGGGCGACACACGUGCUACAAUGGUCGGUACAGAGAGAAGCGAAGCUGUGAAGUGGAGCGAAACUCAAAAAGCCGAUCGUAGUCCGGAUUGCAGUCUGCAACUCGACUGCAUGAAGCUGGAAUCGCUAGUAAUCGCAAGUCAGCCAUAUUGCGGUGAAUACGUUCUCGGGCCUUGUACACACCGCCCGUCACACCAUGAGAGUUGAUAACACCCGAAGCCGGUGGCCUAACGGAAACGAAGGAGCUGUCGAAGGUGGGAUUGAUGAUUGGGGUGAAGUCGUAACAAGGUAUCCCUACGGGAACGUGCGGCUGGAU